UAACAAUUGAUUUUUAGAGAAGCAACACUUUAUCAAGUUAUACAAUAUAAAGUUGAAUAUUCUUUCCAAGAGUCUUCUAUUUGCAUAGUUAAGAAAAUUGACUUUUUUGAUCCCCUCGAAACAAAAAAAUUGCUACCUAACGAUGACUUUUCUUGUUUACUUCCUGGUGUUUCUUAUCUGGGAACAUUCAGUACUUUGGGUGCAGCAAUCCUUCUUUGUAUGGGACUGCCACACACAUGACAGCAUCUAGCUUCCUGUCACCAACACAAAUAGUGUCUCCUAGUUGUUAUGGUAUGUUAAGACCCCUACACAUUUCUACCUGUCCCCUAUGGAGGUAGUAGUGCCCCCUGUUUGAGAACUGAAGAAGAGGCUAAUAGAUCCUGUAAAAGAAAAAAAAAAAAAAGAAAGAAAAAAAAAGAAUUUUACCUCUAUAAACACCCUCUAUGUGUUAAAAUACAUGGAGGCUCAGAAAAAAACUAAUAAUUUGCCUAAUGAGCAAAUGGUCAAUGAAAUAUCAAAGAUUUGCCAGACUCCAACUUCCCCCUAUAUUAGAUUACCUCUGCACAAAUCCCCAUAAUAUAAAGCAAAUGUUAAAAGCCAAAAGAUGAUUAUAAUCAAA
rnacentral:lncRNA from 1 species